CGCCUCCUGCAAACAUCAACGUAUAGGAGGUCUCGCCUGCCCAGUGACAAGUUAAACGGCCGCGGUAUUUUGACCGUGCGAAGGUAGCGCAAUCACUUGUCUUUUAAAUGAAGACCUGUAUGAAUGGUAGAACGAGGGCUUAACUGUCUCCCUUUUUAAGUCAAUGAAAUUGAUCUGCCCGUGCAGAAGCGGGCAUACUAAUACAAGACGAGAAGACCCUUUGGAGCUUAAGACUCCAGAUCAACUAUGUCAAGAACUUAAACCAAGUUAAACCAAAUAGCCCCUGAUCCUAAUCUUUAGUUGGGGCGACCACGGGAGAAAACAAAGCUCCCAUGAGGACUGGACCCCCCUCCAGAACCAAGAAAGACAUCUCUAAGUCACAGAACCUCUGACCAUAAAGAUCCGGCCACCCGCCGACCAACGGACCAAGUUACCCUAGGGAUAACAGCGCAAUCCCCUUUCAGAGUCCAUAUCGACAAGGGGGUUUACGACCUCGAUGUUGGAUCAGGACAUCCUAAUGGUGCAGCCGCUAUUAAGGGUUCGUUUGUUCAACGAUUAAAGUCCU
rnacentral:rRNA from 1 species